rnacentral:rRNA from 1 species
UGGAGUAAAAGGCUAUGGNUCAACCAUAGUGUGCUCUGGAAACUNUCUGACUUGAGUGCAGAAGGGGAGAGUGGAAUUCCAUGUGUAGCGGUGAAAUGCGUAGAUAUAUGGAGGAACACCAGUGGCGAAAGCGGCUCUCUGGUCUGUCACUGACGCUGAGGCUCGAAAGCGUGGGUAGCGAACAGGAUUAGAUACCCUGGUAGUCCACGCCGUAAACGAUGAGUGCUAGGUGUUAGGCCCUUUCCGGGGCUUAGUGCCGGAGCUAACGCAAUAAGCACUCCGCCUGGGGAGUACGACCGCAAGGUUGAAACUCAAAGGAAUUGACGGGGGCCCGCACAAGCGGUGGAGCAUGUGGUUUAAUUCGAAGCAACGCGAAGAACCUUACCAGGUCUUGACAUCCCGAUGCUAUUCUUAGAGAUAGGAAGUUACUUCGGUACAUCGGAGACAGGUGGUGCAUGGUUGUCGUCAGCUCGUGUCGUGAGAUGUUGGGUUAAGUCCCGCAACGAGCGCAACCCUUAUUGUUAGUUGCCAUCAUUAAGUUGGGCACUCUAGCGAGACUGCCGGUAAUAAACCGGAGGAAGGUGGGGAUGACGUCAAAUCAUCAUGCCCCUUAUGACCUGGGCUACACACGUGCUACAAUGGUCGGUACAACGAGUUGCGAGCCGGUGACGGCAAGCUAAUCUCUGAAAGCCGAUCUCAGUUCGGAUUGGAGGCUGCAACUCGCCUCCAUGAAGUCGGAAUCGCUAGUAAUCGCGGAUCAGCACGCCGCGGUGAAUACGUUCCCGGGCCUUGUACACACCGCCCGUCACACCACGAGAGUUUGUAACACCCGAAGUCGGUGAGGUAACCUUUUAGGGGCCAGCCGC